CAGUCGCCGCGGGAAUACAGAGGGUGCGAGCGUUAAUCGGAUUUACUGGGCGUAAAGCGUGCGUAGGCGGCUUCUUAAGUCGGAUGUGAAAUCCCUGAGCUUAACUUAGGAAUUGCAUUCGAUACUGGGAAGCUAGAGUAUGGGAGAGGACGGUAGAAUUCCAGGUGUAGCGGUGAAAUGCGUAGAGAUCUGGAGGAAUACCGAUGGCGAAGGCAGCCAUCUGGCCUAAUACUGACGCUGAGGUACGAAAGCAUGGGGAGCAAACAGGAUUAGAGACCCCUGUAGUCCCUGUCUCUUAUAC
rnacentral:rRNA from 1 species